UUUGCAUAUCAGCUCUAAGUUCUUUCGGUCGUUUUGUGAUCCCCGACGUUGCGUAUUAGCUCUUAGUUCUUUCGGUCAUUUUUAUGAUCCCCGACUUUGCGUAUUAGCUCUAAGUUCUUUCGGUCCGUUUUUAUGAUCCCCAACUUUGCGUAUUAACUCUAAGUUCUUUCGGUCCGUUUUUAUGAUCCCCGACUUUGCGUAUUAGCUCUAAUUUCUUUCGGUCGUUUUUAUGAUCCCCGACUUUGCGUAUUAGCUCUAAGUUCUUUCGGUCGUUUUUAUGAACCCCCAACUUGUGUAUUAAGCCUAAAUUCUAUCGGGCCGUUUUUAUGAUCCCCAACUUUGCGUAUAAGCUCUAAGUUCUUUUGGUCGUUUCAUGAUCCCCGACUUUGCGUAUUAGCUCUAAGUUCUUACGGUCCGUUUUUAUGAUCCCCGACUUUGCGUAUUAGCUCUAAGUUUUUUCGGUCGUUUUUAUGAUCCCUGAGUUUGUGUAUCAGCUCUAAGUUCUUUUGGUCUAUUUUUAUGAUCCCCGACUUUGCGUAUUAGCUCUAAGUUCUAUCGGUCCGUUUUUAUGAUCCCCGACUUUUCGUAUUAGCUCUAAGUUCUUUCGGUAUGUUUAUAUGAUCCCUGACUUUGCGUAUUAGCUCUAAUUUCUUUCUGUCGGUUUUACGAUCCCCGACUUUGCGUAUUAGCUCUAAGUUCUUUUGGUACGUUUUUAUGAUCCCCGACUUUUCGUAUUAGCUCUAAGUUCUUUCGGUCCGUUUUUACGAUUUCCGACUUUGCAUAUUAGCUCUAAGUUCCUUCGGUCCGUUUUUAUGAUCCCUGACUUUGCGUAUUAGCUCUAAGUUCUG
rnacentral:lncRNA from 1 species